rnacentral:rRNA from 1 species
GACGAACGCUGGCGGCGUGCUUAACACAUGCAAGUCGAACGGAAAGGCCCUGCUUUUGUGGGGUGCUCGAGUGGCGAACGGGUGAGUAACACGUGAGUAACCUGCCCUUGACUUUGGGAUAACUUCAGGAAACUGGGGCUAAUACCGGAUAUGAGCUCCUGCUGCAUGGUGUGGGUUGGAAAGUUUCGGCGGUUGGGGAUGGACUCGCGGCUUAUCAGCUUGUUGGUGGGGUAGUGGCUUACCAAGGCUUUGACGGGUAGCAGGCCUGAGAGGGUGACCGGAAACAUUGGGACUGAGAUACGGACCAGACUCGAACGGGAGGCAGCAGUGGGGAAUAUUGCACAAUGGGAGGAAGCCUGAUGAAGAAACGCCGCGUGCGGGAUGACGGCCUUCGGGGUGUAAACCGAUUUCGACUGUGACGAAGCGGGAGUGACGGUAAUGGGUAAAGAAGCACCGGCUAACUACGUG